UACGGAGGAUGCAAGCGUUAUCCGGAUUCAUUGGGUUUAAAGGGUGUGUAGGCGGUUUUGUAAGUCAGUGGUGAAAUCUUGACGCUUAACGGUAAAAUUGCCAUUGAUACUGCAGAUCUUGAAUAUGGAUGAGGUAGGCGGAAUGUGUAGUGUAGCGGUGAAAUGCAUAGAUAUUACACAGAACACCGAUUGCGAAGGCAGCUUACUAAACCAUUAUUGACGCUGAUGCACGAAAGCGUGGGGAGCAAACAGG
rnacentral:rRNA from 1 species